rnacentral:rRNA from 1 species
AGUGAACGCUGGCGGCAGGCCUAACACAUGCAAGUCGAACGGCAGCACAAGAGAGCUUGCGCUCUGGGUGGCGGGUGGCGGACGGGUGAGGAAUGCAUCGGAAUCUGCCCAUUUGUGGGGGAUAACCUCGGGAAACCGGGACUAAUACCGCAUACGACCUACUGGUGAAAGCAGGUGAUCUUCGGACCUUGCGCGGAUGGAUGAGCCGAUGCCGGAUUAGCUAGUUGGAGGGGUAAAGGCCCACCAAGGCGACGAUCCGUAGCUGGUCUGAGAGGAUGAUCAGCCACACUGGGACUGAGACACGGCCCAGACUCCUACGGGAGGCAGCAGUGGGGAAUAUUGGACAAUGGGCGCAAGCCUGAUCCAGCCAUGCCGCGUGUGUGAAGAAGGCCUUCGGGUUGUAAAGCACUUUUGUUGGGAAAGAAAAGCAGCCGGUUAAUACCCGGUUGUCAUGACGGUACCCAAAGAAUAAGCACCGGCUAACUUCGUG